rnacentral:ncRNA from 1 species
UUAUGAAGUUGGCAAACCCAUCGAAAGAUGGGGACGCAAAGCCGUUCGCCGGCUGUUAUCGCGGCGAAGCCCGUCGGAAAAAAGAGUCCGGCGGGUACGGGCCUAAAGUUCCGGUAAUUUUUUUGAUUACCGGUUCCAGGGUGGCCGGGUUGCCGAA